rnacentral:miRNA from 1 species
UGCCAGGGCCAGGACUCAGUCUUCAGAGGACUCCAAGGAACAUUCAACGCUGUCGGUGAGUUUGGGAUUUGAAAAAACCACCGACCGUUG